GUUCCUGUAGCGAGAUGGGUAGCGCGUUGGAUUUCCAAUCCAAUGGUCGUGGGUUCGAAUCCCACCUGGUACG